ensembl:lncRNA
GGCAGAGCACACCCACUGCACCCACAGGAGCUGCCCUCAGGCAGCCAGCCUGGCCACCUCUUCUGCCACGGGAGCUCGCUUCUGUCACAGGCUGGAAGGAGCAAGAGGAGUCCUCCUGUCUCCAGCAGAAAGCUAAAAACAAAUGCUGGAAGCCCAGGAGUUGAUCAGUUCCCAUCUGAACAGGGCCCUCUGAAAGAUGCCCAAUGCACCGUUGCUGGAAGAUCAAAGGCAAAUGCAUAGUCACAGAAAUACUGGUCGAAAGAUGCCUGUGAAGGCCAUCAACUCCAGCCUUCCUCUGCAAGCAGACUGCUGGUGAAUCAGGUCAGCUGAGACACUGUUGAGACUUGGAAGUAUCCGCAGGCUGAGGCACCACAGCGUCUCCAGGUACAUUCUUUCAGUGCUGCAGUACCCUCCUACUGAUAGUUGUUUUUUGUAAUGUCCAUUCUGAACUUCCCGUUUGUGGCUGUAUGCCACUGUGCCCCGUUUUAUACCAUCUGCCAUAUCUAAGAGAGGAGUUUGGUUUUAUCACUUGCUUCUGACAGCAUUAAAAUAAUCACUAAAGCCAAUACAUCUUCCAUCCAACCCUCUCCCUUCAUCAGCAUAGGCCAUCAUUUCAUCACAGGCUGCAAUCAGGUUUGUCAAGUAGGAUUUGUCCUUGGUAAAUCUGCACUGACUGUUCCUGCUUACCUUUACAUCCAUACAUGGCUGGAAAUGAUUUUCAGGACAAGAUCCAUGAUCUUUCCAGGGACUGGGAUGAAUCUGACGUGUGUACUCCUCCUCCUCCUGAUUCCUCCUUUUUACUUUGCUUAACGAUGGACAGAACAUUUGCCUUUUUCUAUUAGAGACCUCCCUUCUCCAGUUUUACCACUGUUAACAGCUCAGCAGUUGCGUAGUGACUAAUGUGAAAGCUUCUCAGCGUUUUCAGCCUUUAAGACAUGUUUCAAAAUCUACUGAUUUGUUCAUGUUAUUUUUCUAUAGAAACAUUGCACUUUUUCUUCUUUUGGGGGGAAAGGCUUGGAGGGGGAAUAUAGACUGUUUAGUGCUUUUGCAAUCAGAUUGCCAAAACGUACUUCACACCUUUUUGAGUACUAGCAAUAGAUGUUUAUGAUAGGAGCAUUUUCUAAAUUAAAGCAAAUGAACUUAAUGACUAUUACGCUUUACUCAAGUUAAAUUCUGCCUCCCAAAAUACAGAGUUUACUUAAUAGGAUUUAAUUAACACUUUGGACAUACAGAACGCAUACAUACAUUAUACAGUUCAGUGUAAAACAUGAGGAAAUAUUCCUCAUAUGAUUUCAUCCUGGAGCUCAUAUAUCACAUAAUAACAACUGCUGAAUAACAGUUGCCAUAUGAGAACAUACAUCAUCACAGCAUUUUUUAUAUAACAGCCUUUUUCCUUCAGUCUUUUAAACCCCAAAUAUGAUUCCUAACUCUUCUACUUGAUGCAAGUUCGAUGUAAAUCUUAGUCAAACUGUUGCUUCUUUCCUCUAUUCUUUCCAUUCCUUCUGAUGUCUGAAAUCACAUAUCUGAGAUGACAACAUGAAAAAGUGAAAUUACAGGGGCUGACAAGGCAAUCAAUCGUAUUUACUCAAGUUGUCUUUGUAAAUAGGCUUCCCUCUGACAAAUAAACUGGGAAAUUGGCUAAUGGAAUUAAAUGAAUUGUACGUGGGAAGUCUGCUCUGUGCUUUGUAUGUAUAGGUUUUUGCCUGGAGAGUCACUUUGCUAACACACAUGUUCUAUGGAGGUAUGUGCUAACCAAGACAUCAAAAAUUAACUGCCAGCCUUCCACUGCUCACCCUUCAGAGUUCUUUUAAUCCAAUUUUACAGUGUUCUCCUCCCUGAACUCCCUGUCCUGCCCCGUGCACACUCUUUUUUCAAGUCACAGUAAAACUAUGAGGUGAUGGCAGAAGCAGAGCUGCACAUCACACAUAGGCGAGGAAAACAAAAGAUUUCUGCAGCACUGUAGAAAUCGCACAAACAAUAUGCGCAUGGACAUAUGUGGAUUAAGUCUGGGGAACUUACUGGAGCUCCGUUUUCUCUUGGUGGCCCUCAGAGCAGCUCCGAGAGCCCAGUAUCAAUAAAGGCUAGUGGCCAGAAAGUAGGUAUUGAGAGCCUUUGUAUUUCCUUAGCAGCAGUGCAAGGAGAAAAGCCCUCUAUGAAACUCACCAAGUAGCAGCCAGGGUACAGCUGGCAGCCUGCAGGACACUCCAAAGCCAGUCUUAGACCAUCACUCUGGCAGUGCUGUGAUGGGCCCAUCGCCUGUGCCACCAGUCAGUCCUGCAGCAGCAGCAGAAAGGCCACGGUCUGGAACUGACAUCCCCCAGUGUUAAUAUUCUUUGUGCUAACAGUGCUAGGUCAUCUGUGCAGACAACCAGUAAAAACUUAGUGCUUUGGGUUUUUAUCUUCAUACUUGCAUCUUUUUUUCUGUUUCCUGAUCCAAAGUCAGAUGAUUUGUGUUAAUUGCACAAUUGCAAUUGCAGGUACUGCCCUGCCUCUCACACAGCAGUGUGUGGAUUGGCAUUCCCAGUUGAGCUGACACAUUCAUAGCAGUGGGUAGAAGCCAGUGGUUCUAUUCACAGAAUAGUAUAUUACUCAGUUAAGGGCAGAAGGGCAAGGAAGGAGGCCGUUCAAAGCUCAGUUUCCUUCACACCAGCUUAAUGGCUGGGAAGAUACUUAUUUACUGCCAUGUGGCAGCAAUCAGCAAGAGAAGCAACAAAAACGAUUGCAAGACUGCUGGAUUCUCAGGAAGGGUGAAGGUCUGGUGUUGAUACUUUGCCACACAGGAACGAGCAAAUUUGUUUUCAACAGCUUUUUUCUCCGGGUGAUUAGAUGGGGUGAGACAGGUUUGUUCCUAGCAAACCAUUUCUCUCUCUUUUCAAAAACAGUACACAACAUCUAUGAAACAUAACUGAUUGGACACACCCUGCAGGAGAUAAAUCCUUCCUACCCUUGUAAACCAACAAAAUCUGUGUUUUUCAUCUCAGACCAAUAGGGUGAAGCAGUCCGGAUGCUCGGGGCCAGCGCCUCACCACAUGUAAUCAAAGCACCUCUUCUCCAGGCAGCAGAGCAUUGCCAGCUGUGCCACUUGAGAUCAGAUCUCCAAACCUCCAUGCAUGUGUCAGUCUGCCUACAGGAGCCAUCUGAAGUCAUCUGCUUAAAGAAGCAGGCCUUCAAAACUUGUGCAGAAAACAUAUUCUGCCAAAAAUUUGCCCUUGUCAGGAAUCACGAAGCCAGGGGUCUUUGCAAGAAUGACUUUUAACCAGGCCUCUUGCAUAACAUAGUCCAGAAAAUGUCAUCAGCACUUCCUUAAUUAACUGUGGUGCAUUGUACUUUAACCUGGUUUUGCUUAUCUACAUUUCAGAUAUCUAUGCUAAUAUCUACAAUUACUAUUUUAUGUAUUACGAUGUCUUACAAGCAGGUGCAAACAGAAAAACCGUGCAACGCAGACUGCUCUGUCUGUCAAACAGCAUCCCUUCCAAAAAAUUCCCUUGUAGGCACUGCAAAUCUUUUAAAACAUUACAUGACAUUAUGUUUUUGAGUUCAGAUUGCUUUAGCACAUUGAUCCACUCAAAUAUAACCAACCGACACAGCUUAAAAGAGUGGUCCUUCUCAUUUUUCAUAACCAGGGGUUUGCCUGCUCACCCGAUUCAGACACCCGACAAGCUCUGGCUGCAGGAGGCUGACCUGCCUCUGGUCUCAGCCCUGCACUCUUUUCCUUCCCCAGGCACGGUACAUCCUGGUUUUCCAGAAGAGUGCCACAGAGUAUUGGAGCCUGCCCAGCUCUAUGCUCCUUGAGUAGAGGUCCAGCAGAUGGAAGGGGUGAGCCAGGUAAAACUUCUCCAUAAACACAAGCCCUUUUGUCAGAGGAGAGUGAGACUGCAUCUCCCAGAAAGAAAAUGGCCUGUGGGAUAGCAAAGAAGCCAGGGAGGAGUUCAGCCCCACCUGUGCACCCAGUUUAAUGCCAGGCUGCAUCCACCAAACCACAGCAAUUCAUUGGUAGAUCAGGUGUUGCCCUGAUAAAAGCCAGCAGGGUUUGCUGAUCCAACAUCAUAAAACAGCACACAUUGGCAGCAUUGUGCAUAACAUCUGAAAGCUCUGAAAAUAAGUACACGCAUCUUAACACAUAGAUAAUGUUUAAAUGCCAUCCCCCAAAACAGGAAAAAAAAAAAAAAAGUAAAAUGAAGUCAAAACUCUGGGUUUUAGCUAUUAAAUUUUCUCAUCUGUCUUUCACUUGUUUCCAGUUAUCUGUGGUCUUUUAACAGCUCAGGCAGCAGCACAGGUAAGCAACAGCAUUGUGCUGGCUUGGUAAGUGCAGACAGUUCGGUAUUAGGAGUAUCAUACAUCUGUUUCAGUGUUUGGCCCUGCUUUCUUUGCUGCGUGAGCUCCAGCUCAUGUAUGUCUGAUAAUCAGGAUUGUACUUAAAAUCUGAAAAUAUAUAUUAUACAUGGGCAUGGAUGUAUUGUGAUGCAUCACACAAACCAUAUAUCAUUUACCUGGCCGGCCAUAAGGCCUAGAACACUAAUCCCUCUAAGUGGUGACCUUACAGACUUCUGAUGUGACUUGUGGCUGGCUGACAGCUGUGCAUGAGAGCAAAACCUCUGCUCUCCCCCUCAAGCACUCCCUAGGAAACCUCCAGCAGCAGGAUGGGUGAGACAAAUGCUCUGUCUCGUAGAAUGGCUUGGGUUGGAAGGGACCUUAAAGAUCACUGAGCUCCAGCUCCCUGCUGUGGCCAGGGUUGCCAACCGCUAGAUCAAGCACCUCGGCUACCUCAUAAGUCUUGGUAAUACAGCUCAGAAAUGGCACUAAUCCCAGCAAGAGAUACACAGUACAAGUAACACUGGUAGCUGUGCGCAGUGAGAUGAACAGCACUGAUCAAAGGCCAUGAGAUAAUGACUGAUAGAGCUGUGCCGCCCUUUUACAGCCAGGAGGAGGGUAACUAUUUAAACUGUUCUCAAGAAGUGAACUUCAGUCCGUAAGGGAAAAUCUUCAAUAAAGUCUUACAAAAUAAAUCAUCUGUUUAAAGUUUCACACUGCCAUGAAUGAAAGUCUGAAGUCAAUAGCAGAUCUAUUGUUAGAAAGUACUCUACUUUAUAUGCCAUGACAUUUCCUUAUGAUGGUAUACCAGACAACCAUCUUCAAGAAGUCUAUGAGAGCAGAACAUGAGAGCAGUUUAGCUUCUAGUGGAACAUGUCUGAGGCACACUGCUCUAAGAAAAUGCACGUUCACAAGAUGACAUUUUGAAUGUUUGCGUAGCCCAUUCACACAGAAGGAGCAUUCAGUAGGAACGUUGUGGCAGGGCUGCUCAGGGUACAAAUCUCAUUUCAGUGCUUCCUUUUGGGACCAGCCCAGUUCUGUUAUGCUCCCCACCUGCCACUGCUGUAUCCAAGCACGGGAGAAGCAGCUCCGGGCUGAGGCUUGGCUCACUGGUAAAGGACAAAAGGCACAUCCCAGCCUGGGUAAGUCCAUCUGGAAAAUAGCUAGAAUAUGACCAGAGAUAAGUAGGUUAAAUGACCAGAACACCAUUAGAGCGUAUGAUCCUUAAUUACUACUUCCAGAACACUUUGAUGUCCUUAGGGAGGGAGCAUAUAAAGUUCAAAAUGAGUGCUUAAUAAGUGAGAUUUUCAAAAGCAUUUAAAUAGCAAAGGAGUUCCAGAGACCGCUAAGUUCCAUGGGGAGCUUUGAAAUUCCCCCUCAAGAUAAUAAUUGUACGUCCCACUAUUUGUUAAAAAGCCUUUCUUCUGCAGCGAUAGCCUGUAUUACGUAUACACAUUCUGUAGUCAUGUUUUUGUUCUCUGACUAACUGAAAGCAUAGCCUCAGUGUAUCUCUCUGCGUGUUGUGCAAUAGCAGAUUUGGAAUUUGCAUUUUUUAGAUUACCAGACAAUAAAAAAAAAAAAAAAUAGAGAUUGCGUAGAUAUGCGCCACCCUUCAUUAAAGGCAGUGAUAUUCUCUCCCACCCAGCCCUGCCUAACCAACACAGUAUUGCACAUAUGCCUCCAGACAAUGAGACUACCACACCUUUAGCUUCUAAUUAAAAUUAUUAAGUCGAGAAGGAAAGAAAUGCAUUUUAGUCUGUGCUUGUUAGCCAAAUGUCUCGAUAAAACUGAACAUGUUCUGCUGCUGCCCACCAUCUGUUCUUAUAAAUACUUAUUAAAAACACUGAAUGGGAAAAUAAAUUUGUCAUCACUGACUUUCAGGGAUUUACACCAACUCUGCCCUCAGCUUCGUCUCUAAUGCAGGCUAAUAAACAUCUGUGGAACACGAUACAUUUUUUCCCAUUAAAAAUAUUUUGCAUUUGACAAACUUCAGUAGAAAAGAUUCCAAACCAACGCACGUAUGAAGCUGAAUACAUAGAGGAAUGAGGCCAUCUUUAAUGAGGAUGGUAAUCUAAUGGGGCAAUCUUGCUUUUCCUCUCUUGACCCAUUCCUUACAUAUUCUCAGUCUUUGCACUGCUGAAGAAGUCAACUACCGCAGAAGCACUACACCUCCCUGCCUUUCAUGAAGAGGGGCUUCAGCUUUGAGGCAUCAAAAAAAAUCUUAUUAAUUUCCCUCCACUGGUGGAAAUUCAAAUAUUUUGCAUUAAUGAAUUAAAAAAUAAAUAAAAAAUCAGACUUAACCAUAGCACCCAGUCCAAUCAUGAUUCUUCAUCUAUUGCACCUGAUAGAGUGAAGAAAUCCCAGCUGAUGCAGUGCAGCUAUCAGUAAAUAGGGGUUGACAAGAAUGUCAGUGCUGUUUCUCUUGCAGACUUCCUAAUGAACUUUAGGUCUAAUCAUCAUUCCCAGGCUCUCAUCAGGCAAUUUAAUUAACUUGCCAUCAGUGUCUUCUGUUGAAGCAGAUAAAACAUUAUAGGUACAAUGUUAUGGCCAGGUGCGAUGACAAAGCCAGUAGUAUUUGGAAAAUGAAGGAAAAGGGGACUUUCCUGAGAACACUGCUCAUCUCUAGAACCAUCAUUCUUUAGUGCCUGAAAGACAGGUAAGUAUCCUUCUGCUUGCAGGAAAAAAUGUGAGCUCUGUUUGCAGAGUAAUUGUUGUUAAUUCAUAUUUUUCUUGGUAACUCUUCUCUCUUCCCACAGAUAGUCCUCCCAGUCAAGACACAGUUCCCAAGACAGAAGUGCCUUUACAAGAGAGAUGAAGGAAUGGUACUAGAUAUCAACAUUGUCGGGGUCAGAAGGGGCUCAUAGGUACAGGUACUAAAUUCCCUGGGGAUCUACUUCAGGUGGGACAGAGGCCAUGGAUUUUUUUCAGCAAUUUUUGGUGAGAAAGAGGCUGAGCCCGUGCUAUUGAAGUAAAUGCUGCUCAGCUGAUACCAAACCAGUUGUGGGCAGCUUAGUACUAAUCCCAUCAAAGACCAGCAGUGUUUAGGUGGUGCAAGGCUGGGACUACAUUGGGGCUGGUGCAGUACUGUAAGGAGAAGUCACACCUCCUCCUCAGGCAGGUGUUCUGCAUCCUGCCAGAAGGGGAAGGGAGAGCAAGGAGAGGGCUGAAAUAUAUCUCAUACCAACUGGAAGGGAGCGUGGUUGUUCUGAACUGCAGGGGCACAAGGCAGUCAAAAAGAACAGCAGCAUGUCUUGAAAUAAUAACAUGCAUUAUUAUUUUUAUAUAUCAUAUAUCAUGUAAUAUGCAAUAAAUUGUUUCUAGCAGACAGCAUGAACAAAGAGUGCCUUUUCCACCAUCUGCAAAUUCUCCCUAGAAACUGUUAGGAGUGGGCUUUCCCCUGCAAUUCCUGGUACCAUCCAUUUCAGGUUAGACUGGAAGUAUUGUGAAAGAGGCUGUCGUUGACUCGUUAACAAACCCAGCUCUUUCAGGCUUCUGACUCUCUCACAUUCAAAUCCACAAAACGUCUCUGUGCACUGAUGCAGAGGUGACCGGGGAUGUUAUCUUAUAAAAGACAUUAGAGUAGCUUCGAAAUUCAGAAAUGAAACUUUGCAUUAUCCCCAAGGCUGCUUAUAGGCCAGCCAAGGUGAGAACAAAGAGGAAAAAGUGAAGAUGGAAGUAGGCACUAGAUUACAACUGAGAUGUGUUUCUGUUUUUUCUCUGUGCAUUUGGUUGGUAUUCUGGUUUUUUUUUCCCCACUCUCUCCCUUAUUUUCAGUACGUACAAUAGUUAACUCUGUUGUAAGCUAGCCAAAACUUUCUGAAGGCAAUGGGAAGGAAUUACACUGGUUGCAAAUAUGCACUGGGUAUAUAUGGCCUUUUGUAAAUAGAAAAGCAUGAGAUGUUCCAAAUCCAACUUAAUAUACUUCAGUAGCUUCACUUUAUAUUUUGUUACUGUAGUAUACUGGAAUCUCAGAUUGUGUUUGGAGUAAAUAGUUGCUGACUAAAAAUCUCAGCAAGUACACACACAGAUUUGUUUCAAGAUUCUGAAAAGAAACAAACUGCUGUCCCCUUCUAAAAUCUCUGAAGUUUUGGAGUUCUUGCAGAUUUUCAUCCCAGAACCAAAAAGCAAGAAGCAAGUGCAGGAAAAGAGCAUGGAAGGAGAUUGACAUCUGUUUUCCCUUCACCGUCCUAAAGCAGCUCAGCAUCGGUUCCUGAGCAGCUGAGGAACCUCUGCUGUGGAGGCAAGAACCUUGGAGAGAAGGGCAGGGCACAUUUCCUGGCUAAAGUCAAAGGCACAAGGUGCUGGCCAACACUGAGAUGCCAAACUGGAGGCUGGUCCACCCACCAGAUCUCUAGGAUGUCUCUCGGAGAUUGUGCAGAUCCGAGCAGCAGCACAAAGCAUCGUGAAGUCAAAUGUAACAUUAAAAAUGCAUUCAGCAUGGUAAGUCAGCGUAUCCUUCUACCUAGAUUCCUUUGAAAAUCAGAGCUCAUCUGGGACAAGUAUGACUCCAUGUAUAUGAGUAUAUAGUGAACACUGUUGAACUUGUUGGAGACCUUUAACGUUAUCAAAAUACAACUAAUAGUAAUUAAUAUUUACUUGUCAUAUAGCCUCUCCAAUGAAGAACUAAAAUCAAAAUUAUAACCCUUCUGGGAAUAUGCCAAAGCUGAAGGAAAAGCUAGAAGCAUACUAUUCUGUAAUCAGGUCAACUUACCUCAUAGCACUUGCUGUAAAAAUACGAAUUACAUUAUGUUCCUUUGGCAUUUCUGUGGAUGCCAAUUAUAUUCAAACAUUGUAAAGAGCCUUGCAAACAAUUUGGAUGGAUUCAUGGCUUGCAGUAAGAAUGGCUGUACCCACAGAGCAAGCCUGUGCCAUAGCAAACUCCUCUGCGUUGGUCCUGGCUACAUCCCAGCAGUACCACAAGGCAAGGCCUGGGGGUCACCAGCUCCUGCCUGAGGGAAGCCCACAAAGCAAAUAGAAAGGGAAAUACUGCAGAGCACAGCCCAUCAGCAGUGGGUGACAUGCAGCUGCAAGCACUUAGUCCCUCAGGAGCAGGAUUAACCAAAUCAGUGGUUCUUGGGACAAUGAUGACGGACUUUGGGUUUAGUAGGGAAAGUGCUGGUGACAGGUAUAAUGGAAUCAUAGUUUAAAUAUAGGAGAACUACAUGCUAUUUCUCUUUUUCCUUUUUUUUUUUUUUUUUAAUACAUCGGUAUGUAAAUGGAAAGUCUGGACUGCUGUUAUAGUUUAAUUUCUUCAAAUGGCUGGAGAUCCCAAAACUUUUUAUUUCUUCAGCUGCUUCAUAUACACAUUUGCACACACAACUUUGGAUGCUUGGUAUCUUUGAAAUUCAGGUCAUAUCCACUUGAUAGGCAUGUUUGGGCCUAAUUUUUACUUAUCUUUUAAAAAAUAAAUUUUGGUAAUAGUCUUCAGAAGUAGGAAAAUAGUGAGAAAUUUCUACUGUCAUGCAUUUUCUCACUUUACAGCCAAUCUGAAAUCUACAUGUUCAAAUAAAUCAGUGCUCAAGGACAUUGCUGUCUUCUUCAGGCUUAGGGAGUUAUGCCCAGGCCCAGGAGGUGUGUUUAGGUGCCUAGUGACCAGUGUAUUCCAUAGAUGUUUAAAUAUUAUCACUUAACCAGGACCUGCAUCCAUCUCUGGGCAGAAACAGACAGGAAAUUUUUAUAUCUAUCUAUCUAUCUAUUUUUAUAUCUAUUGAGGUAGACAAAAACUUCUACUUGGGACCCUUCUCAGCACUGCUGCAAGGUACAGGGUGGGGUGGAUAGGACGAAAGGGCACCCAACAUCAGCUGGGAUUGCCUCCCACAGCCAAACAGGGCCACAGCUCUCAGGCUGCUCAGGACAUGCACAGAACAAAACCUGCAGCAGCAUGUGCCCAGGAGAGCUCUGCUGUUUCCAAACACGCUGCAACAGCUGCAGAUGCCGCCCAGACACAGCACAGUGCCCAUCUUGCUCCCUUACCACAUGGUACGGACCCUGCUGCUUCUUGAAACUGCCCACGUGCUUGUACAAACCUGUACUUUGCAAAUGCUCACACACGGUGCAUGCAUGAAUUAUUCCCAGGUAUCUGUAAAAUUCAGUUUUGAAAACUGUAAAAUAAUGGCCUGACAACAAGCUGGUCAUAUUUUCCAUGGUUCAUUUACCUCAAACAAACUGAAGGAUCAGCAAAUGUUUUGUAUUAACUUAUUGUUGAGCCAUCCUUGAUUAAGAAAUCGGUUCUUCCUGAAACUUUAUCUGGGAGCGGUCAGGUCUCCACACAGCAUUUCUGCUGCUUUCCUGAGCAAUGGAAGGACCAACACCAGCAAAGAUGGACAACACUUGAGUACUGCCAUCUGUGAUACAAUCAACAGAGCCCCACAGCACUGUUGUUUGGAUCAUUUGGUGCUGCUCCCACCGAGUUCACAAGAGUUUGUGAUGGGGCAUGUUCAGGCUUCCAGUGUAUUAGUAAUAAUGCUAAUGAUAUUGUAUGUUUUGCCUGCAUUACAGUCUGGUGCUUAGAAAAUAAACAUCUCGGCUUUGCCUCAGUGUUUAUCUCCAAUAAAUACCUCAGCUUUGCCUCAACAAUUAUCUCUUCACAGCAGACCAUUAUCCAGCAGCAACAUAUAAUUCCAUUAACAUUACCGUUUAAAAUAUAUCCUCUCCG